rnacentral:rRNA from 1 species
UACGUAGGGGGCAAGCGUUGUCCGGAAUCAUUGGGCGUAAAGCGCGCGUAGGCGGCCCGGUAAGUCCGCUGUAAAAGUCCAGGGCUCAACCCUGGAAAGCCGGUGGAUACUGUCGGGCUAGAGUCCGGAAGAGGCGAGUGGAAUUCCUGGUGUAGCGGUGGAAUGCGCAGAUAUCAGGAAGAACACCAAUAGCGAAGGCAGCUCGCUGGGACGGUAUUGACGCUAAGGCGCGAAAGCGUGGGGAGCGAACAGG